UACAGAGGGUGCGAGCGUUAAUCGGAAUUACUGGGCGUAAAGGGCGCGUAGGCGGUUAUGUAAGAUUGUUGUGAAAUCCCUGGGCUUAACCUAGGAACUGCAACGAUGACUGCAUAGCUUGAGUAUUGUAGAGGGUAGUGGAAUUUCCGGUGUAGCGGUGAAAUGCGUAGAGAUCGGAAGGAACACCAGUGGCGAAGGCGGCUACCUGGACAAAUACUGACACUGAGGCGCGAGAGCGUGGGGAGCAAACAGG
rnacentral:rRNA from 1 species